CCGCAGCCGCAUUGACGCCCAGUAGCGCAUCCGACAGCAUCGGUGCGCCUGCAGAGCAGGACCCGGGCUCAGCCGCAUGCCGACACCCACGGGCAGAUUGCAGGCACGCACCCAGAACGCACCGGCACCCACGGGCGAUGCUGCACGGACACCGCGGCCAGACCCGUGCGCCCUCCCCGACGCUCCCCUCCCGCAGGGCGGGCAGGGGACUGCUUACACUAACUCUGUGCUUGUGGAGCUGUAUCAGCCUGGCACCUAGAGCAUCUUAUGCACAGAGAUGGAUUUAUUCUCAGGAAAAGUAAAAGACAGAACUUGAAGUACCCAUGACGUGUAUUGAUGUAGCCUCCCUUACAGGCCUGGAUAGAGAGAACAGAGAUACCACAGAGCUUUUAAUGAUAAUGGCAGAGAGAAAUAUUUACACAUCUUCUCAAAGGCAACAUGUACAGGAAUCUGCAAGUCCUCAUGCCAGCAAACUACCAACAAUACCAGAUGGCAGAUGAUUUCUUUAAUGCUUUCCUUUCCACCAUCAGUCAUUCCCUGUUGCAUUAUACACAUAUGUUGAGUCUCAUCCAAAAUCCAUUGAAGGAUUUAAAUACGUUUGGGCAUUGUUUGUAGCAAAAUUUAUUUUCACCCCAAGUAUUCUUAUUCAUACCUCCCCAGAAGGGAAGUUCCAGUCCAGCAGAGGACUUUGUCCUUGGGACACAGUGCUGCUGGAGCACCAAGUGACACUGGGACAGUGGCUUUGACAGGCAAGGUCCUGUAUGUUUGCAGCCACAGCAGAAGUGGGUUUGUUAGCUUGGGCUUCAAGUGGGCAAGAAGAAACCAGUGCCCUCAUAAAAUGAUCUCUGCAUUCUACAUGCUGUGAAAGAAUGUAAUUUUUCUGAGAAAUUUUCUAGAUGGUUUCCAACCUCAGGUUUAAAAGGUUAACAUGAGUUAACAAAUUACAUAAACAGUUAAUUGUAUUCAAUUCCUUUCUUCAAGAGCUAAACACAGAAGAGUUUCUGUUUAUCUGAAAAGUAGAGACAGCAUUUUAUCAACCAUUGACAUGUCUGCUCUUUGAAAUAUGACAUCUAUCAAGCCGAGUCAAGCUACACCCCAGCAAGAACAAUUCUUAUUUGUUCCAUUCUGGCUUCUGGGCCAGGAAGAACUUGAGGAAGAUACUUUUUCAACUAGUUCCACCAUUUGUUCCUUCAGGCUACUUCCCCAUUGACUCCAGAAACCUGAAAAUAGCUGAUGACAUCUGCUCAAGGUCCCUCCUGGGAUGAGGACUAGAGCAGUAGCUGGGGUGUCAUUCAGACAGCCUUUCUUAUGCCAGUUUCAUGUUUCCAAAGCAAGAGAAGAGAGAAAGCCAAAAGAACAAUCUCAAGGUAGUCUAUAA